rnacentral:rRNA from 1 species
UACGUAGGGGUGCAAGCGUUUAAUCGGAAUUACUGGGCGUAAAGCGUGCGCAGGCGGUUUUGUAAGUUUGUCGUGAAAGCCCCGGGCUCAACCUGGGAAUUGCGAUGAAGACUGCAAGGCUUGAAUCUGGCAGAGGGGGGUAGAAUUCCACGUGUAGCAGUGAAAUGCGUAGAGAUGUGGAGGAACACCGAUGGCGAAGGCAGCCCCCUGGGUCAAGAUUGACGCUCAUGCACGAAAGCGUGGGGAGCAAACAGG